UCAGCUCUCAACUCCAUCAUCUUCUUCCUUAAGGUUUUAACGCACAAAAAUGUCAAAGCACCAUAACUCCCUCAUCUUAGCUCGGUUUUGGUUGAUUCUCGCGGCCACGGAACGAGGGAGAGAUCCUCUACUGUUAUAGCUCAUCAAUUUAAGAUUCUUCGUUUGAUAUCGGAAUUAAGCGAUUCUUGCGGCAACGGAAAGAGGAAACCAAUAGCUACUGACCUGGACUAAUAUAUCAAGACUUGACGAGACGACUACCAAUGGAACCCGAAACUUACGGAACGCGAGAUUGCUAGGUAUUAUCGAAGAUUAUGGAUAUCAAGCGUGUGUUUUUCAGGUACCUAGAUUCUAGACUUGGCCAGAAGUCCGUCUUUAACCGGAAGUUCCUUUGGCUAUGUACAGCCCCGACUUUCGUAGAUGCUGCAGUAGUGUGAUGUCUGACCAGUGUCGUGGCCUAUUACAACAGUGGAAUUUUAUAUGAUGUAUAGUUGCUGUCUGUUGUGUACAUGUUGGUCUGGCUACGAUAGUUAUGUAUUGUACCAUGGAGAUAAAUUCCCGUGAUGUAAUUUCGACAUAGUGGUUUAUGCCGGGCUAGUACGUACAUGAUACGGAAACAAUAAGUCCGAGCACGUUGUAUGGUUUUACCAGUGUAUAUAAAUGUAUCUUUGUUUAAAUGC